rnacentral:tRNA from 1 species
UCUUAUAGUUAAUUAUUAAUAUAAAAUUGCAAAUUUUAAGUUGUUUAUAUACUAAGAU